GCCCAGGUGGCGGAAUUGGUAGACGCGCACGCUUCAGGUGCGUGUAGGAGUAAUCCUGUGGAAGUUCGAGUCUUCUCCUGGGCACCA
rnacentral:tRNA from 3 species